GCUCCAGUGGCGCAAUCGGUCAGCGCUCGGUACUUAUAAUGCCGAGGUUGUGAGUUCGAGCCUCAACUGGAGCA